GAAUAGAAAAAACAAUGAAGAAGGAUAAUAAUAAUAAUGAAGUGACUGCAUAUUCUUCGCAUCUCUUCAAAAAUUCUCAAACUUCUUUUAAGUUUCUUUCUCAGGGUUUUUUUGUGUGACGAGAGAACUGAAUUGGAUUCCGGCUAAGCUGUGGAUCUGAUCGGAGAUUUCACCGUCGGCGGUGGCUGAUUUUGGCUAACCAACUGUUAAGACUGUGAUUUAGAGAGAAUUCGAUAUCUCAAUUCAAUUCAAUUCCGGUGGAGCUGUGGAUCUGAUUUUAGCAAAUGAAUUGUUGAGAGUGUGAUUUUGGUGAGAUCAAGAUUUGAUUUUGUGAAGAGCGUGGAAGUGCGAGGAGGGAGCCAUUGAAGAACGGAGCAUUAGAAUGCAGUGUGGGCCAUUCGAAAUUGGUUUCUCCAAAUUCUAGAACAUAUUCAAAGGCAUAUGAUCGACAUAAGAACAGGGUUUCAUCAAAGCAGCGUGCCCUUAACUAUAUAUACCUGAAAUUGCCAAAGAAAGGAUUUUCUCCGAUUGUCUCUUGUAGGACAUUAUGUUGGAGAUAUUGACAUUUCUUGAAAUCUUAUCUGCUAGAUGUUAAAGGUGCGCUGCAGUGAUCUUUGUUUUUCAGGAAUUUUUGUGAAAGGAAUUCGUUUGGCAGGACUUGUUGGACCUGACAGAAGAUAAAUCUAUUGUCAGAAUCGCAAAAUAAAUUCAAAUUGGAAGAAUUGUUUUACAGAUUUGAGAAUCAUUCCCUGCUUCUUUCGUCCCCCUCCAGUAGGUGUUGUGCCUUUCAAACGUGCAGAUGCCCGAGUCAUCCAGGUUUUACCAGCUUCCUGAGGCUUGACAAGGAUCAGCAACAUGGGUUGCCAGGUACCUGGUUUCCGAUGUCUUGCCUGCCUUUUGAACACUAACGGGUGGUUUUUUUUUGCUGUUUACCUUAGAACAGUAGAGAUACUGUUUUCCUAACAUCAUUUUAUACUCUCUUUUACAAGCCCAGAUGGUGUUGCUUCAUACAUAACAUGCAUUUAAAUGUAUCAUUUUGCUACAGUAUAUGAAAAAAUAGAAUGAUUUUCUUCAAUGUAGUUCUUCAUAUUG